rnacentral:lncRNA from 1 species
UUCGAAGACGAGGGUACGUGUAGUGUUUUUUAUUUUUAAUUUUAUUAUUUUUUAUUCAUGUGAUGACCUUUUGCCCCCGUUUGGCCCCCAUUUUUUCAAAUUAAAAUGGAUGGAAUAGUAUUUUUUUGGAGAAUGAGUGGUUGAAAAGAAAUAAAAAUUUUUUUAUUUAUGUGUAAUAUUAUUUUAUAAAAAAAAUGUGUCAUUGACAAUAGGAGGGAGAAAAAUGAAAUUUAACUUAAUGGGGGCCAAAUGGGAGUUUUAUGUAUGUUUAUCACUUUUUAAAAGAUGAUUAUCAUUUUAAUUUAUUUUUUGUCUAGGAUGGGAUAGAGAAUGUAGAAAGUGACGUACUCUUAUACAUUUUGAUUAAAAGGUCACGUAUUGUGUAAUUUAAAUUUUUGUAAUAGAACAUCUUUUGCUUAACCUUAUUAGAGCUUUUUAAUUGAUAUGUAUAUUUAACUCUCUACUUUUCUAUAUUGGACUAGUUUUAUGUCAGUGCAAUGCACGAAAAUGCGUUUAUUUUAGGGUAAUGUUAGUGCAUUUUGUGUUAAAGAUUGACAAAAGAUAUGUGCGUUGAAUGAGAUUGUGGGGGAGCAAAGGGACUAUUUCACUGAUCUAUAAGGAAGUUAGAGAAAAGAACAAAAUGUAAUUAAAUUGCAAUCAUCCAAGUUCUCACGUAUUCUCACACAAUUUUCAAUAGAAGAUUUAUACAAUAUCAUCCACCAAAAAGUAGGACGACAUGAAGUCCUCUCGCUAUAGUACUAUCAAUUAUACCUAGAUCAAUCUAUUCAAUACCUAAUAAUGUAGUCUACAAUGCAUCUUAUAUGAUGGAGAAUGAGUCAACUUAUGGCCUUUCAGAUUCUAACAUAAAUUCAAAAAAAUUAAAAAAAUGUUGAAUAGAUCUUGUGUAGCACGUAUAACUCUCGCUAGAUUUAGACUAUCAUUAACACGUCCUUCUUGAGAGAGAAACUCAACCCAUAAGGUCCAAUUAUUCAUUUAAAAAUGAUUACACCGAAGAAAAAAGCACAAAUUAUUCAAUCAACAUAUAAUCUGUGAAAAACAAACAAGAGCACUCACAAUAUUUGUUCGGCUCGACAAACACGUUUUUCAAUUAGCUUAGUGACCUCCCUCCCCCCUGCCAAACUGGUUCACUCUCAUGCAAUAUCAAAAGAGAGACACUAGUGAGUUAGACAACUGCACUAAGGAUCAUAUUCUAAACAUGUUGUAAUAGCUAAAUUUAGUGCGAUUGUACAGAAAUAAUAUACACCCUAUCCUCGAGUCAGUCAAAAACACUUUUGGAGGCUUAUAUCUCAUGCCUCAUGCAACUAAGGUGUUUGCUCAUUUGUCUAGCCUUUUAAUUUUAUGACUAGCUUUAGCCUUUUUGACUAUUUUUUACAUCUUAGAAUGUUUUAUUUCUGAUGUGAUCCAGGACACGCAAGCAUCAAAGUCAAGUCCAACGUCAAGUCCGGGAAAAGAUCCAUUGAUAGUUGACAGUGGACCGAUAAUGCGAUCGAGGAUAAAGUGAGUAAAAGAGGCAAACGGGGGCUUUAUGUAUGUUUAUCACUUUUUAAAAGAUGAUUGUCAUUUUAAUUUAUUUUUUGUCUAGGAUGGCAUAGAGAAUGUAGAAAAUGACGUACUCUUAUACGUUUUAAUUAAAAGGUCACGUAUUGUGUAAUUUAAAUUUUGUAAUAGAACAUCUUUUGCUUAAGCUUAUAAAAGCUUUUUGAUUGAUAUUUAUAUUUAACUCUCUACAUUUCUAUAUUGGACUAGUUUUAUGUCAAUGCAAUGCAAUGAAGCGUUUAUUUUAAGGUAAUGUUAGUGCAUUUUGUGUUCAAGAUUGACAAAGGAUAUGUGCGUUGAAUGAGGUUGUGGGGGAGCAAAGGGACUAUUUCACUACUCUACAAGGAAGUUAGAGAAAAGAACAAAAUGUAAUUAACUUGCAAUUACCUAAGUUCUCAAGUAUUCUCUCACAAUUUUCAAUAAAAGAUUUAUACAAUAUCAUGCUACCAAAAAGUAGGAUGACAUGAAGUCCUCUCGCUCUAGUAUUAACGAUUAUAUCUAGAUCAAUCUAUUCAAUAAUUAAUAAUGUAGUCUACAAUGAAGCUUGCAUGAUGGAGAAUCAGUCAACUUAUGGCCUUUCAAAGUCUAACAUAAAUUCAAAAAAAUUAAAAAAAUGUUGAAUAGAUCUUGUAUAGCACCUAUAACUCUCGCAAGAUCUAGACUUCCAUUAACACGUCCUUCUUGGAUAAAACAUUGGCUUAUAAAAUUUUAUCUCGAC